UACGGAGGGUGCAAGCGUUAUCCGGAUUUACUGGGUUUAAAGGGUGCGUAGGCGGGCAUGUAAGUCAGUGGUGAAAUACCGGAGCUUAACUUCGGAACUGCCAUUGAUACUAUAUGUCUUGAAUAUUGUGGAGGUAAGCGGAAUAUGUCAUGUAGCGGUGAAAUGCAUAGAUAUGACAUAGAACACCGAUUGCGGAGGCAGCUUGCUACACAAAUAUUGACGCUGAGACGCGAAAGCGUGGGGAGCAAACAGG
rnacentral:rRNA from 1 species